rnacentral:sRNA from 1 species
UCUACUUCCUCCUUAUGAGUUCUCUCAGUAUUUUGUCAUACAAUGGAAAGCUGCCUCACACAAGCCCAGAUGCCUAACUGGGAAGAUAGAGUCAGGCAGAGUUGGGAGCGUAAGUACAUGGAGGAAAAGGUUGUCACACAUCGGGAACCACAAGGCAGACCCUGAGUCAGAAAGAGAGUGACUGCCCAUCCGUCUGCCUAGAGGAGAAGACAGAGUCAGAGCUGGACAUGAAACCUAGAUAGAAAGCCUGCAGGGUGGCUCAGAGGGUAAAGUUACCUACCACCAAGGAGGACAACAUGGGGUCCCUACGGUAGAAGGAAAGAACUGACUCUUGAUGGUUGUCCUCUCACUUUCACAAAAGGCCUGGGGGUGUGCACAUCACCCCAAAAUAAAUACAGCUUUUUAAGAAACUGGACCAGAUAGCCUCCCUGAGGUCCUGGUCUCUCCAACUCCUUUCCCUGCAGAGUGAGGGUGCUGUGCCCUGCAUGAGCUCUCGAUAGCCACGAGCUCACAGUGUGAUUAAGUCCAGCACAAUGUGGAGGUAAGAACAGAAUGGAAAGACGGGGUGCCGGGGGAACCACAGGUUGACCUGGGGAGGAGCUCUGUGCCAACAGUGUGUCCUAGAGUGGCCCCCACGUGUCCAGCAGCUUCUGUUGCCCUCUAAAUCUUGUUUUAGGUCUAGCCUCUGCUAAAGGAAAUGUGGCGGGCCUGGGCUCAUGGGAACUGAUGCCUUAUCUGGAAUGAGACAGCUGUGGUGGUUGAGGCUGGGAUCAACUGGGCAGCACAGCCUUGAACUAUUUCACCCAAGAAUACAGAUGUCUCCCCCCAGUCUCUGAAGGGCUUCCCUGAAGACAGACGCUGCAAUACUUCCUUACAUCUGGCUUGAUUCUCAGAAGUGUCCUCCCAGCCAGUGGUGAUGUGGACUUGUAGCUGCACUGUUGGUCCAUCGAUGGUCCUUAUUUUUUUUAGCACAUGCAACAUAAGAAAAUCCAGAGUAGCUUCAAAUGCAAACAGCAUAAGAGAGGGAAAGAAUUUAGUCAGGCGAAAGGCAGCCAGCUUUUACAACUGAGGGACUUCCCCGGUACAUUUAAGAAUGAGACUCGAUUUCCAAAAAUUCCUUUGGCGCUCAACUUUUCAGGAACAUGACUACUGUCAAUUUACGAGAACAAAACAGUGCUCCCUUUUGGCUUUGCUCCUGAUACUGACAUGCCAAAGAGAGUCGGGGUUUGCUGGGAAAAAAAAAAUAAAUGAUUUGCUCUAAAAAAAAGUUCUGGCAUUUUUACUUACAGUGUCUUUUCUGUACACGCCAAAUGAACUCUGGAAAUCUCUGCACUGCAAAGGCAAAACGUCGAGGCGAGACUGCAGACUCAAAAGUGCCCUGACAAGGUUGAGGGACGAUGCUUGAGGUGUUUCGGGGCCUGGACAUCCAAGGCUUUCCUCCUCUGGGUAAUUUUUCAAUUUAAAAUGCUAGUAUUGAUUGGCUGUCGGCUUUAUCGAUGAGCUACUUUUGAAAACUCGAACCUGUUUUAAUUUUAAUAGCCUCUCUCCUCCAAAUUCGAUCCCCUCCCGCUCUACCCUUACCACCAAGUACCGUCUCUGUGGAAAGAUGGGCGUAAACACGAUGGGGCCCCGCCUCACUUCAGUAAUUUAUUAGCUAAUGAAGGGCUACUCCGAUCGACAUAGUUCGGUAUGAACUACAGCCAUUUCCUAAGAAAAGCCAGAAGUGCUUUUCCUUAUCAGCUAAUGGAGUAUUUACUCUUGGAUCACACACUUAGAAUUACCAUGGCUUCCUGUCUCACCGACUCGUUCCACAGCCAAGCCACACCUCCAGGUUGAGGGUUUCUGCCCCUUCGAUGGGUGGUGUGGUAGGUUCCAAGCCCUCUCACAAGAAAAACAUCUUUCAUAUAAAAGCUGGUAUGAAACCGGAGGGUGAAAAUGAGAGUCACUGUGUGGCCACCUGCUCCAGUUAGGCAUCUAGGAUCUUCUGGCAUUUAUCAAGCUCCACUUUAGUCCCAAUCCCACUAGGGUAGCUAUUGAGUGAGAAAAGAGCCAGAAAAUUCCAAGUAAACCCCCCACACACACACCCAUGUCACCUAACUGAUGGGGCCUGACAGAGGACAGUUUUCAAAGGCAAAGAUCCUGUUUGAGAAGAGCCGCCUGCAUUUUGAAAGCAGCUUCACUCGGACGCUGUAUAGCAUCAGUGGGUUCACUCAGCAAGGCUGAGGUGGAGAAAUCUGACGGGCUCUACCCAGCCCCCUCCUCCUCCAAGCGGUCUAAUUGAACUAGAUACCUCUGCCACUGUCAUCUCUGUGGACUUUGAGGAUGCAGAGUGGGUACAGGUGGCACGGCUCAGUGUGGAAAGGCACUUGCCACCAGACCCAACCACCUGAGUCUGAUUCCCUAGGAGGCACACGGUAGGAGAGAACCAGCUCCCACAUGCUGCCACCUGACCACUGUACCGGCAGGAAGCAUUCGUGAACCUCAAAAGGCCGCCAAGGAGCCAACUUCCGUUCAAUAACCCUAGGGUCUCUAUUCCAGCUCAAGCUUGGGCAACACCACCAUCUCUGACACACCAGGGCAGGAGGGCAAAGCCCUGAGCCCUCGGUGGGACAAGGCUUUAUAGGAAAUGGUGGGCGAGCAAGGGGGUUUCAACCUGGCAAGCAUCUCCUCAGGUAACUGUUGUAAGCCGACAGGCGGGUGCUCUGGAGCAAACCCACGAACGAUCUUUCUGAAAACACAUCUGAAAUGAUUGGGCUGAUCUUUGAUUGACUGUUGCUAGGAAGUAUUUAGGGAGUAACUCUGGGGUGUAGGUCAAGGACAAGCCAUGGGGUCUUUCCUGGUACUCGGGUUCAGCAGCCUGGGUUCAGCUAUAGGUCCUGUUUCUUUUAAAAUAGAGGCUGGUCCCAAGAUGAAGUAGGUUAGGCCUCUCGCCACCACAUCUAUGCACACAUAUAAAGUUAAGUUUUAAGUGAUAAAAAUGAAGAAGGCCUGGGCCUGUUCCUCACACAGGAACGAGGCUAUGAGCCUGUUCUCCACACAGCUCUACUGCACACUAACACCAACAUAAAAAAGUAAAUAGACAGUUGCUUCUAGUGAGAGGGGUAAGCAGGACUUAGAAGUUAGAGACAGAGGCAGGAACAGAACUCACACUUUGUAACAAAAUUCCUGGAUAGCUCACUUGUCCAUCCAGGCUGAGAGACACGGCUCUGGACCCAGAGUCACAUUCGUCAUCGCACUCCCAGCUAAUAGUCAAGACGGAUAUCUGAGAUGGGCAGAUAACAGAGGAACACGGAUAUCUGAAUGGAUGGACGGACUGAGAGAAGCUCGGCAGACUGUACAUACGGAUCAGUGGACGAAUGGAUGACUAACUAAAUAAAUGAACAGGACUCACUGAUGUGGGAAACUGAUGUGUUUAACUACCAAAGUCAAACCGACAAGAAGCACUUGGGAAUCCCAGCCAUUACUGGGCUCAUUCACCUUAAAAAAUAAAAAUGGCGAAUAAAGUCUUCAAAGCCCACGAACUCCUCGUUCGAGCGUGCCCACAUAAAAUGUGAGGCACAGCAGCCACCAUCUUCCUGUGGCUAACAUCUCAGAGAACCGAGGCAGAGAGUGUCCGUUCAAAAGGGAGGACACUUUAUGUGUGGAGGAAACCAUGGGGGACACUGGGGAUCUAUUUGUCUCUUCAGCCGUGUUGGCAAUUACUUGGAGGACUCCAAGUCAGGAAGAAGGCUUCUGCCAACUCAGGAUAAGCCACUGCUUCCCUCCCGAUCAUGACAUUCCUGUGGAGUACCUGGCAGUGAGGACCAGGCUCAGUGUGUGCCCUGCAGCCUGGCUGUUUCCUGCCCUCCUCUCUCCUGGCAUCAGCAGAAAUACCAGACUGCGUUAACUCGGGAGAACAGGGCCACACUCAGAGUCUGCCCUUGCCAAGCGGCUCCUGGACCAUCUACCUCUGUCACAUCCGAUUCAUCACCCAGGGGAGGAUGGGCUUGGAGACUGCAGUCUGCACACAUUCAGAGCCAAAGGGCACGAGGAGGCUUCUGCCUACAUGCUCCAUAGCACUAGAAAUCUCAAGGUCAAGCACCCAGGAUGGAGGUCUUUGCAUCAGAGGCCCACAGGUAAUAUUUUCCUUUGACAUCUUUUUCCUUUCUUUUCUGAGUGGGAAGCCUUCAAGUUUUGUUUUGUUUUGUUUUGUUUUGUUUUGUUUUGUUUUGUUUGUUUGUGGUAGAUUUCUUUGAUGAAAGCCGUGGAUCUCGUCUCUCACCCGGGGAGAAUGUGCAUGAGGACGUUUCACUUUAAUUUCAAGGGAACUUUACUGAGAGUUAUUCAGAGAGUCCCCAGAGUGCAGAAAUUCUAGGUUAAUAGUCAUUGACAGAAAUGAGGCUAUGAGCCUUUUCUCUAAACACUGCUCCACAGCAGCACACCAACACCAACAGAAGAAAAAAAAAUCAGAGUUGUUCUGAGUGAGGGGGCUAAGCAGGACUUAGAAAUCAGACAACAGCAUUCAAGAGACAGAGGCAGGAACACUCGGUCAGACCCCAGACUAGGCUACAGUGGGGCCCUGCUCAAAAAUGGGACAAAGAAAAGAAAGAAAGAAAAAAGACAAGGAGGCAUGAUGGGAAGGGAAGGCCUCUUGGGAUUGCUGGCAGGCCGAGAGUAGACCCAACGGCACCUUCAAGAAUUUUCCCAGGCCUUGGCUCACUGACAAGAGCCAAGUUUCUUAAAAUCCAUAUUGCAUUAAUGGCUUCUUUUUUUGACAGUUGCAGACUACACGCUCGAUAAAUACUUAUUGAUUCAUUGGUUUCUUCCUGGGCUAGUGUUGCCAAGAAUUAAACUAUCUGCACAAUGGCUACAGUAUAGGGCUAUAGGCUGCCUGUCUUUCCACCUCCAAGGGACUAGAGCUUCGGAAGUCCGACCAGUGGUUCUCUGGCCAAGAAUAGCUCAAGAUUUAUGCUCCAUGUUGGACAGACCUCCUCUGCCUGGAUGCUGCGUCUGAGAAAAUUGUGUAAUCCUACCCUGGCUUUACCCAGCUUUGUGCCUGGGGUUCACUGGCACUCCAAUUUGCCAAGAAGUGCCAGGUCAGCCCUUCCCAGGGAAUUGUGCAGUCAAGGCACAGCUAAGACCAGUAAGCAAUCAACACUAACAAUGCGUUCAUGGGGGUGCCCGGUUGCUAAUGGCCGAGCUCCAGGCUGUGGAUUAUGGUGGAAAGGUAAUUCCUGAAGAGGUUUUUGAUCCUUGGGCCCCAGUCGGAAAACUGGGGGGGGGGUUCAUAAGAUAUCCCCAAAUUAUAUGGUUGCUAUGGGAGUUGCUAUAAAGAGGUACCUGAAAAUGGAGAUACAGAGAUAGAAAAUGUCUUUACAGUCAAUGUCUUCUCCAAAUAGGGGGUGUGGGGGUGCCAAUAGGUUAAGAAGUCACUAGAGUAUGAAAUACCCCUUGGAUAGAACCGCCUCAGGGUACCUGAGGGGGUGAUGUGAGACUUCACGGGCUUUCCAGGAGCUUGCCUGUCACUAGGAACGCCACUGGAGAACAAGUGAGCAGUCUUCCAAAGCCAUGGUGCAAAGAUGCCAACAGCCUACUGCACCACAGACAGGCAGACAGAACACCCCCACUCGGCUGGCACAGGGUCCAACUGCUGCUUUGCAAAAAUUCUGUUAUUUCAGCCUCCGAAAUCCCUUCCCCUGGGUCGCAAAGCUUCUCUUUAUUGUUAUAAACAGAAACAACAUAUGGA